AAGGUGAAGGGAAAAAAGAACAAACUGUGUGCGCACAUGUAUCACUCGACUUCCAAAUGGGGCCCGAUCGAGAACUUCCACAGAUUUAUACAUUCUUAACGAUUUACAACUUCUCAUCAAUACCACUUCAGAAAUUGAACUUGACAACACACGCAGUUAGGGUAUCCACAAAUUAUAACCCCUAACCUCAACAAUACAAAACCACUGCAAAGGAAACCACAAAGUGACAGCAAAGUGUUUGUCAAACUCACACUCAAGAUUCAAACAAAACUAUUCUUCUUAAAUUUACACUUCGUCACUUUGAACAAAGUCAUAUACAUUGAACUACAAAUAACAUGAAGCAAGGAAUAGAGACUCAUCAAGCUUAAUCAUUCAUUUUAGGAUAUGAUGAAUAAUAUCUUGGUAAUUUAACAACUAGUAGUAAUAUUUCAGCAAUAACUAUUUGUGAAUCAUUAUGUAGCGUACAUCAUUAGGGUAAAUAAAAUAAAUAAAAUAAUGAAAAAGUAUAAAACGGGUAUAGUUUCAGAAAUGGUACCAUGGCUGCAUCUAACAAUAACUGUCUAUUGUGCUAAUGAUUAAUACAAUAAUUAUUCAGAUUAUAUAAUGUAAAAAACAGUUAGUUAAUAAAUAACUAAGGAUCGUCAAUAAUGGAUGUAGCCACUUUCAAUAGCCAAAGAUGAAUAAUUAAAUGUAGUUCUCCGUAGUUUUUGUUUGUUUGUAGGAAACUCCCUCUUCACAGCUGUGAUGAAAAUGGCCGGCGGAGCGAGGGUAUGAAUAAAGAAGAGCUGUUCUGUUUAAAAUACAUCCUCCAGCUUUACUUUAUCUGAUCCAUUACAUAGUUUUUUUUUCACAGCCGGAUUCCUGCACACAAUGACGCAGUCACUGCACAUUACGCCGAGACUCGCUGAAAGACCGCAUUUGCAGUACCUGCCUGUACUAUGACGUCCUAAGACCCACUAUGAGCCGGUAUGAAGGAGCUUCCAGUACAACCAACCGGACCUUGCCUCAGCAUUGAGGAGUUCAGGAGACGGCAGAGAAGAAAGAGGCUGAUUGAAGCGGGACAGAUGACAUGGAUCCAUCCUUCCACAGCCAGGAGCUCAACAACCUGUGUGCCACACUUCAAAUAAGACUAGAAGCUACACUGGAUCUCACAGCUACACACCACAGACGUCUACACACCACAGACGUCUACACACUGGGGCAGAUUCAGACAGAGUCCCACAAAGAACAUAUGACCCAGAGGCUGCAAAGAGACAUUUCAAGCUUCACCUGAUUAGCUU